GUCCAAAUCCCAUCCCCAGCUCUCUUGUUGCUCCCUUAGGUACCGAAAGGCCACAGUAAGUUCACCCCAGAGCCAUUUUGCUGCUCAGAUGAAUGGAAGAAUCCUGCUCUGAAUCGAUCCAGUUUUGACCUGGGCAGAGAGGAGGCCCAGUUGAAACCAUUAAAGAUUUAUUCCUGACAGAACCAAUUAGGCCUGGCUGAGCAGCAAAGACCUUAAUUAGUCACAUGACUCAAAUUCCUUACUCACGCAAUUGGCACCAGGAAAUUAAUUACAGCAGCAGCAGCCCAGGCAGGGCGGAUGGAUUGUGACUGUCAUGAGGGGAUGCACCAAGACCCACUGAGAGCUCAGGUUCUUUUCAAUCUCAGAAGAUUUCUAAGCAAGUCCAGUAUUCAGUGAAAUCAGCAUCAAGAAUUCUAAGAAAAUAGACCUGAUGCUUCCAGUUGUUCAGGAGAAGAAACACUUGCUAACGGAUGUGACAUGUUUUUGAACCAUUUUCCAAGGUAAUGGAAAAAGUUAAGCAUAUUCCCUAGUAUGCACAUUGAUGACUAAGCUGCCAAUAUGAAAUCAAUUUAAGCAAGUGCAGUCCCUAUUUAAUCCUUGUAUAAAUUAAUUUUAGGACUCUCCUUCUCCUACAGGAAGACUAAAUUGUAGCAUCUAAUUUUUUUUUUUUAUCCUGAAGUCUCAGUCUUUGCUCUCUCUACAUAUCUAUCUGCAAUAAGUCAGUUUAGGGACUGAAGCCAAAGCCACAGAAGUGGAUUCCGUGCCAAGGUUCCUUUUAUACCUGGUGAACUACUCAGUUCCCUACUGUCCCAAAGGGAAACAAAAGACUCCCAGUUUUCUGAAAACCAGAUUCUCUGCACGACAGUGCAUUGCAUUGCCACAGGAUGGGCCACAGUGGAUGUUCUCCUAGCAAACAAAUCAGGUAACUAACAAGUACAAAGAAUUAGAAAUUAACUUGGUAAAAAUGCUUCUAACAUUUUCCCAGUGGUGUAUUAACUAGAAUCCUACUUUCAUUCCACAAAAAAUAGAUAUAUUUUUUUAUAAAUACAUUUUAAUACAGACAACUCUGCUGCUAUGCCAAAAAAAAGUCAAUGUCACAUUCAAACAGGUUUGCUGGGUGUAUUAAGAUACAAGCAGACAUCACAGCAGGCAUGAACACAGGGCUUGGAGGGAGGCUACAGACACACAAACACCAUUUCACCCGCUGGGUCACACUGACCAGUGACAUAGAAAACAACUGAGCUGCAGCGUUGAGACCUAGAGCAUCACACUCUCCAAAUACUUCAAAUAUUUCCAUGUAUAGAAAAUGAUACGAACUGUGAAUGACAUUUAAUGUUAGUAUUGAAACACUUCUAUAAAUUUAGGUAGUGCUUAUGCUGGGGGUAUAGAGAAGAACCACGAAAUGAGGCUCCCAGCUGACUCAGACUCAAGAGAAAACUCAUUUACACUUACCAUGGCCUUGAACCUCUUGGGUCCAAAUAGCUGAAAUUAAUUCUUUUCCUGUCCUUGUCCCCCUCUCCCCUCAUUUUUUUCCCCCCACAAAGAGUCAAUGCACAUAAAUCUGCCCAGCUUUUGUGCCAUACAUACACAUUUCUAUUUGCUCCCCCACACCUCUAUUAACAAUAGCAAUCAUCUCUAUAGUUUCCUUCCUAACCAGAUCUAAUUAAAAUUGAGCUGUUAACCAUCUUUUGCAGGUUAUGAAUAAUUAAUACAGCAUUUUUAUAAUACUUAUUAAGUAUAGCUGUUGGACAUUAGCAUUUUCUUACCUUAAAUAGCCCCCCAUCUUUGCAUGACUAAGAGUUCUCUAUAAUUUUUGUUAUGAAGAUUGGAAUUUAUUUUUUAUGGGUCGAUAUGUAGCACUAUUUCUCAAUAUACUUUAACAGUCUUUUCUCAAACUGAAGGUAUUUGGAAGUUGGUAGCCUGCAUGUUUCACACACAGCCAGCCAUCACUGUGACACUCUACAUAGGAUUUUGAAAUGAAACUCAAACAGAGGACAGAGAUGGAAAACAGAGCAUCUUACUGACCUGCUCAAAAACAAGACACAGAGAGAGAUUGUGAGCAAGAACUAAACCCCAACACAUUGUUUUCAAACCUACAGAGACUUCCUACAUUAAAUAAAAUAAAUAAAUAAAUUCUUCAGAGUCA